GAUGAACGCUGGCGGCGUGCUUAACACAUGCAAGUCGAACGGAAAGGCCCAAGCUUGCUUGGGUGCUCGAGUGGCGAACGGGUGAGUAACACGUGGGUGAUCUGCCCUGCACUUCGGGAUAAGCCUGGGAAACUGGGUCUAAUACCGGAUAGGACCACAUUUUGGAUGGUGUGGUGGAAAGUUUUUCGGUGUGGGAUGAGCUCGCGGCCUAUCAGCUUGUUGGUGGGGUAAUGGCCUACCAAGGCGUCGACGGGUAGCCGGCCUGAGAGGGUGUACGGCCACAUUGGGACUGAGAUACGGCCCAGACUCCUACGGGAGGCAGCAGUGGGGAAUAUUGCACAAUGGGCGCAAGCCUGAUGCAGCGACGCCGCGUGGGGGAUGACGGCCUUCGGGUUGUAAACUCCUUUCGCUAGGGACGAAGCGUUAUGUGACGGUACCUGGAGAAGAAGCACCGGCUAACUACGUG
rnacentral:rRNA from 1 species